rnacentral:rRNA from 1 species
UACGUAGGUGGCAAGCGUUACUCGGAAUCACUAGGCGUAAAGCGCAGGUAGGCGGUUUGAUAAGUCUCUUGUGAAAGCUCCCGGCUUAACUGGGAGAGGUCAAGGGAAACUGUCAGGCUGGAGUGUGGCAGAGGAAACUGGAAUUCCCGGUGUAGCGGUGAAAUGCGUAGAUAUCGGGAGGAAUACCUAUGGCGAAAGCAGGUUUCUGGGCCGUCACUGACGCUGAGCUGCGAAAGCUAGGGGAGCAAAC